UGAGGAAUAUUGGUCAAUGGGCGAGAGCCUGAACCAGCCAAGUAGCGUGCAGGAUGACGGCCCUAUGGGUUGUAACCUGCUUUUAUAUGGGAAUACAUGGAGGGACGUGUCCCUUAUUGCACGUACCACACGAAUAAGGACCGGCCAAUCCCGUGCCAGCAGCCGCGGUAAUACGGAAGGUUCUGGCGUUUUCCGGAUUUAGUGGGUUUAAAGGGAGCGUAGGCUGUUUGUUAAGCGUGUUGUGAAAUGUAGGAGCUCAACUUUUAGAAUGCCUCGUGAACUGGGAGACUUGAGUGCACACAACGUAGGCGGAAUUCACGGUGUAGCGGGGAAAUGCUUAGAUAUCAUGAAGAACUCCGAUGGCGAAGGCAGGUUACGGGGGCGCAACUGACGCGAAAACUCGAAGGUGAGGGUAUCGAACGGG
rnacentral:rRNA from 1 species